AAAAACAGAGCUGGCGGAGGUAAACGCCAAUGGCGGAAAGGAAGCUCCAGCGACACUGACCGAGCAUCAAACCAGAGAGAGAGAGAGAGAAAAGGAGCAAUGGCGAGCCGGCGGUUGCGGCGUCAGCAUCAGUGGCGGCGCUUCUGAUGGCGACCGGCGCGAGGUCGUCUGCGGCUCACUCCUGGCCGGAGGACCUGGCGAGCUUCCCGGACGACGGCGAGGCGGCUCGAUACGCUAACGAUCCGUUCGAGGUCUCCGCCGGGUCGGUCGGCCGGAGGAAGGCCGCCGCGGGAUUCGCGUCCCCGGCGGCGGUCGACGACGAGCCGGCUCGGCCGGAGAGCUUCGUGGACCAGGCGAAGGAGUUCCUGGGGGCGUGGGGCGAGAUGCUGUGGGAGCUGGGGAAAGGAUUCAGGGACAUCGUGCAGCAGAGCUUGAUCACCGAGGACUCCUUCGUGGUUCAGAAGCUCGGGAAGCCGUGCGCGAAGGUCACCGGCAGAUUGAAGUUUUUAAACGAGUACCUGCCGGAGGAUAGAGAUCCGGCGCUGGCGUGGCCGGUGAUACUGUUCGUCUUUAUGCUCGCUCUAGCAGCACUGAGUGUCAAUACAACUAAUGAUAGUUUCACCCCGGAUGUAAAGAAAGUGCAAAAACAUCCUUCUAGCGCUAUCCGUGUGCAACUCCCAGAUGGCAGACAUAUUGCAUAUGGUGAGCAAGGUGUCCCUGCUGAUAGGGCUAGAUUCACCAUCGUCACUCCACAUCCUUUUCUUUUCUCCAGACUGGCAGGUAUUCCUGGAAUAAAGGCAUCUUUGCUGGAAGAGUUUGGUGUCCGUUUGGUCACCUACGAUCUUCCUGGUUUUGGAGAGAGCGAUCCUCAUCCAGGGAGAAACCUGAACUCCUCAGCCUUGGACAUGUCAUAUCUAGCCAAUGCUGUUGAUGCUACUGACAAGUUCUGGGUGCUUUGCUUCUCUAGCGCAUGCAUGCAUGCUUGGGCAGCACUCAGGUAUAUCCCCGACAGGGUUGCAGGUGCAGCUAUGGUCGCACCAAUGAUCAAUCCAUACGAGCCUCGUAUGACAAAGGAUGAAAGCUCUCGGACAUGGGCAAAGUGGGUGCAGAGGAGAAAACUAACUUAUGGUCUUGCUCAGAGGUUUCCUAAACUUCUUUCAAUUCUGUUCCGGCGGAAGUUUUUCUCUGGAGUUCAUGGUUCAAUUAGUGAUUGGCUGUCCUUAUCCAUGGCAAAGAAGGAUGAAGCUUUGAUCCAACAACCACAAUUUGAAGAAUUUUGGCAUCGGAACGUGGAAGAAUCAAUCCGUCAGGUGAUAUAUCACCAUUCACUGAGGAAUUUGUGCUACAGGUGUCAAAGUGGGGUUUCAGCUUGACAGAUCUUCAGGUUCAGAGAAAAUGCCAACAUAAAGGCAUUCUUCCAUGGCUAAAAUCUAUGUACAGCCAGGCAGACUGUGAAUUGGCUGGAUUUCUUAGUCCCAUACACUUGUGGCAGGGAAUGGACGAUGAAGUGGUCCCACCAUCAAUGGCUGAUUGCAUCUCCCGACUUCUGCCUCAAGCCACCAUCCACAGGCUUCCAGAUGAAGGCCACUUCUCCUUUUUCUUUUUCUGUGAUGAGUGCCAUCGACAAUUACUUUCGACUCUUUUUGGAGUCCCUCAAGGGCCGCUAGACAAGAAGGUGGAAGUGGAUAUUGUCGAGGAGCCGUCGAUUGUGAAUCCCGCCCUAGAAUGACACGCACACCUCGUGAUGACAAACCUUGCUUCAAAACUGAAAUGUUUUCUUGUAAAUACCACAGAGUUCUCCAUUCUUUUUGGAGCUGCAGAGGCGGGAUCUUCAUGAAAUCUCGGCUUCUUACUCAGGGAGGCAGGCAUUUUGGAGGAGCUUUUUAUAGCAAGGAAUCGAUAUAGCGGGGCAUUUACUAUACCCUCUGGAAUUUUGUAUUCAGAAUUGCUAAUCUCAAAUCUACUUGGGAUGCGCAAUGCUGCAUCAUUUCAAAUCAAACAGAUCUAAAAUAAAUCAUUAGAGAGGUAUCGUUCCUUCUUUGUACCAAGAGAUAGACCAUAUGUGGGAUCGACCCAGACAUACAAUGGGCCCUCUCAUCGAUCUUUGUUUCUUCCUCUA